AUGACAAUCACAACAACAACACGUGCAGAUCCUGCAGAUUAUUUUGGUCUUAAAAAUGUCGCUUUAACAGCACAUAUUUCAGCUCAACUGCAAACAAAACCGACACACAGUCCGAUAAAAUGCUGGAGUCACGCGACUCACCUAAUAAGUGCUGUGCUGUGGAUUGUAAAGCUGGACAGACAGUGACUGUAAUGAUGGACAUCUGCUUGUGGACAGUCUGUCCAAAAGCAUAACCACUGCUGGUCACAGUGCGGGAAGCUCCAGGGGGAGACCAUACUGGUAUCCCCCUUCUUUGGGCGCACCUUCACACACACUCCACCAUUCACUCAUAUCGCAGAGACCUGGCUGGGAUCGAACCAGCAACCUCUAAACCCGUGAGGCAGCGGUCUUACCUGUGAGCCACAGGUCUCUUGUUAGAGCAAGUGAAGGAACUUAUUUUUGACUGUUGACUUGUGAG